GACUUGCAUAUUUUUCGCCUCCAAAAACACACAACUGUUGGGCUGCUGGCGUGAAAGCAGAAGGGAAAGUGUGUCAGUUAUUUAAUUUAUUUAUUUCUCGCUUUAUUGGCGUUUGAUCAUGCGCCCUUGUUGCAUUCAGCAAAACUUAUUAUUCAGGAUCAAGCACAGAUUUCUAUAUUUACUCUGAAUGGGCAUAAUAACCCUUGUUCCUAAAAGCUUGCCCUAAUGAGGAUGGAAAAACAAAAACUAGAAAAAAAAAUCCCAAUUGGCCUCAUUGUCAACACGUUGUCCUCCAAUUAUCUAAGGAAAUAUUCCUCAGGGCUGCGUGCGUCAUUGAAAAUCAAAAUACAUCAGUGGGUUUUGUGGGUGGCUAAAAGGCUCUGUGUAUCUCUCUCUCUCUCCUCUUAGAUGAGGUCACAUGGGUUCAUUGUUUUUGCCUGCAGUCACACUCUUGUACCACACUUCUCGACUUCAAAUAUGGUAUGUUUCCUUUCCCCCCCUUUUUUUUAUUUCACUCUUUUUUUAUUAGGAUGUUCUGACAGCGUUCCUUGACUGUCAGUGCUCAAAUCUUGUUGUGCGAACCGCCCCCCUCCCAAUCCUUGCAACCAAAAAACAUCUCGUCACGACAGGAGAUGUCAGAACCUAUUGCCAUGGAAACAGUGCUCCAAAGUUUGGAGCGUCGACCCCCAUUUUGACUAUAUCCAAUCAGAUUUUAGGAAAAAGCUUUCGGUGGUGCAUUACUUUAAUCGGAAGUCUGGUGUGGGCACAUCUGUGUGGACCAGAUAUUACGUCUGAGUGACGCUUGCGUGUAUCUUUUCUUGUGCAUAUGUGUGUGUGCGUGUGUGUGUGUGCGUGUGUGUGCGUGUGAUGUUUGCAAGCCAAGAAGUGACUCAUCAUAUCACACAGGGGGUCUGGGAUUUAGCUCUGUGGUCUUGUAUCCACUUCAUCUUUUCCUCUCGUGCUGGUGCUGUGCAACACCUGAAGUCUUUUUCCGGAAAGCGACGAGUCACACCUCGCACUCCAGCUGCUCUCCCCCUGAGGAUGGAGAGCUGGGGUGCAGCCCGGGCCCGCUUUCUUUGAUGCUCGACACUCCGGCUUCAAAGUCCUUAGCAUCAAAGCCGAGGACUUGGGAUCAGGCCCAGGAGCAGCCCAGCAUCCUUACGUUCGCGCACACACACAGGCAGAGACGACUUCACUUCAGUGAUUCAGGGGCAUCUGGGGACGACCUGAUUGUCUGCUGAAUCCACGCAGACGCAUAAAGGGCUCGGUGGUGUACGAUGAACCCACCGGUAACUG
rnacentral:lncRNA from 1 species